UGGCGAACGGGUGAGUAACACGUGGGUGAUCUGCCCUGCACUCUGGGAUAAGCCUGGGAAACUGGGUCUAAUACCGGAUAGGACCAUGCUUUAGUGUGUGUGGUGGAAAGCUUUUUCGGUGUAGGAUGAGCCCGCGGCCUAUCAGCUUGUUGGUGGGGUAAUGGCCUACCAAGGCGGUGACGGGUAGCCGGACUGAGAGGUUGGUCGGCCACAUUGGGACUGAGAUACGGCCCAG
rnacentral:rRNA from 1 species